rnacentral:lncRNA from 1 species
CGCCAAUUAUGUUGUGGAAAGUCCAGCAUAAUCAAUGCACAGGAGACAUGAUGAGAUCUGAAGAACAGCCUGGGGCGUCUUUAAUAGUACAGAUGUAGAAAUCAGUACAGAUGACAAACAGAGUCUCGACCAAGACCCAAGGAAGCCUCUCUAGCUUUACUUCUACUCUCUUUUAUGCUGUUAGGUGUGUGUGUGUGUGUGUGUGUGUGUGUGUGUGUGUGUGUGUGUGUGUGUGUGUGUGUGUGUGUGUGUGUGUGUGUGUGUGUGUGUGUGUGUUCUCCAGAAGUCCCCUCAUGAUGACAUGUCUGCCCCACGACACUUUGUUUAGGUUUGUCUUGACCCUGGCAGAGAUUACAUGUUCCAACAGACAGAUAGUUUGGGCUCCUGCAAGACAGCCUUGCUUACAAUCUCAUGGUCGUGGGGCAGCAGGAGCAGGCCAACCCAGAUUAUUUGUAGCUUCUUACUAAAAGAUAAUUACUCUAUAUUUCUUAACCUAACUGUAUGAAGACAUUCCCCUACAC